UACGUAGGGGCUAGCGUUAUCCGGAUUUACUGGGCGUAAAGGGUGCGUAGGUGGUUUCUUAAGUUAGAGGUGAAAGGCUACGGCUCAACCGUAGUAAGCCUUUGAAACUGGGAAACUUGAGUGCAGGAGAGGAGAGUGGAAUUCCUAGUGUAGCGGUGAAAUGCGUAGAUAUUAGGAGGAACACCAGUUGCGAAGGCGGCUCUCUGGACUGUAACUGACACUGAGGCACGAAAGCGUGGGGAGCAAACAGGAUUAGAUACCCCUGUAGUCCCUGAGCGGGCU
rnacentral:rRNA from 1 species